rnacentral:rRNA from 1 species
UACGAAGGGUGCGAGCGUUAUUCGGAUUUAUUGGGCGUAAAGGGUUCGUAGGCGGGAGAUCAAGUCAAGUGUGAAAUAUCCGGGCUUAACCUGGAAAGUGCAUUUGAAACUGUUUUUCUUGAGUGUUGAAGAGGGUGGUGGAAUUGCUGGUGUAGGAGUGACAUCCGUAGAGAUCAGCAGGAACAUCGGAGGCGAAGGCGGCCACCUGGUCAAUCACUGACGCUGAGGAACGAAAGCAUGGGGAGCAAACAGG